rnacentral:lncRNA from 1 species
UUAACCUAUAGCAUCUCUUAAUGUUAAACUUUGUUAAGAAUCAACUAAAUUACCUUUUUCGGGCCUUAAACACAAAGCUCCGCCUACUUUCUUUAAUAAGUACGGGAUUCUGAAACAGCGGGAUUAUCAGUAAGACCUGAAUUUUCGACACCGAAGGAUGCACAUUUCCAUUGGUGGCGAAUAACGUUACAGAUCUAGACAAACAUAUGGUGAAGAAAUUAGUUU